GGGAACGGAGUCAGGCCACCAAUGGAUGGUGGAAGCAAGUGCGGAGAGACAAAAGUGCCACGUGGCGGGCUGAACCGAUUGGGAUUGACGAUAAGCCGGUCUGGGAAUUAAUGAGAUCCAAUAGAUGUGGGGUUUGCCUCCAAUUUGAUGAACCACUUUGUCAGGCUUGCUUAACCUCGGUCUCAAAUCAGUGAAAUUGGGACAUGGAUUCGAGCCCUGGUCCGGGAAGAUCCCACAUGCCACGGAGCAACUAAGCCCGUGCACCACAACUACUGAGCCUGCGCUCUAGAGCCUGCGAGCCACAACUACUGAGCCAGCAUGCCACAAUUACUGAAGCCCGUGUGCCUAGAGCCCAUGCUCCACAACAAGAGAAGCCACAGCAAUGAGAGGCCCGCGCACCACAACCAAGAGUAGCCCCCGCUCGCCGCAACUAGAGAAAGCCCGCGUGGAGCAACGAAGACCCAACGCAGCCAAAAAUAAGUCUGUUACAUUUCCCAGAAUGGUUCCCAGCGCUGGAGAUAAUUCCUUUUCGGAGAACCUACAUUUCUCACCUGCUGAUUGCAAUUAGCCACUGCCAGCUGGGGCCUGGUAUGCAGCUGAAACGCUAACAAGAAGUGGAGACCACGCGGAACCCAGACAGGGCAAAGGAUGUGAAUAAGCCAACAAAGAGACUUGAGAUGUUAGAAAAAUCCUGGAAGCCAGCAGACCUGGAUUUCAAUCCUCAUUCUCCUUAACCGAUCUGGCUAUUCACUUCCCUUUCCUGAGCCUUGGUCCCUCAUGUUUCCUGGAGGGUUAAACUAGACAGUCUCCCAGAGACUUUCCAGCACUAACAUGCUAUGCUUCCAUGAACUUGUGAAUUCUGCCAAGUGAUCGUAAUUGUGAGGUGCCAGCACCAUGACUCCCAACAAAGUCUCCUGUGAACUCUACAGGAGUGGAGUUGGCAAACUGCCCAACAGACUCACAUGGAAAGUGCACUGGGCUCGAGUCUCUAACGGAGGGCCCCUUCAGCAUCCUGGAACUUACACCCAUUGGUUGCAUGCCCCUUCAUAAGUCUUAAUGGAUAAAAACAGAAAGAAAUUACUGGGCUUCUGCUACCUCAAAAAAAUCUGAAGCCAAGACAAUGCAGCAAUCCAGAAACUCAAGUCCCUGAAAGUAUGUUGUCGCUACCCUACCUGUAUUCCUUCAACACUUAUUGCAGUCCUUGCCAACAACGUCAUUUUGCAAGCACCCAAAACUCUCCACCUGAUGGAAUCACUUCGCUGAAGCAUGGGCAGGCCAGAAGUGCUAAGGGGUUAAUGCCUCCAGGAAUGGCGCUCAGCCAAUGAUGGGUGGAGUUGAAGGACCAGCAGCAGUUUGCCUUCUGGUACGGGUCCACAAAACUUGCUGUUCGAGCAGUGCUGAGCCAGAGCAUUCUGGGAAGGAGAUGGGGUUGGCAGUGUCAAAUGCUGCCAAGGCGAUGAGGAGACUGAAUUCUGCCAACAACUACAUGAGCUUGGAAGAGGAUCCCAAACCCCAGAUAGGAAGGCAAUCUGGCCGACACCCCUGACUGCAGCCUUACAAGAUUCAGCAGAGGACCGAGCCGAGCUGUGCUCUAGCUCCUGACCCAUAGGAAUGGUAAAAUUGUACAUGAUGGCGAGCCACUAAGUGUGUGGAAAAUUCGUCUAAAUGGCCAAACGAUAUAUCCCAUCCCACACUCUCCCCUACAGCUGUGACUUUAACAUGUCUCCCAUCAAUAGGCAGAGUCUAAUUCCCCUCACCUUGAGUCCAGAUGGGUUUGUGACUACUUUGACAACAGAGGACUGUGGAAGUGACACUGAUUUUCAAGACUGGGUCA